rnacentral:lncRNA from 1 species
AAGAAAGAUUCUGCUCCUUGGGGAAAGCCUCCUUCUGCUCGAGUGCUGCUCUGUGCAGAGAUGAGGGAGGGGUCGCCCCCCGUUCCGGUGAGGUCCCUGUGGCCGGCAGAUCUGCAUCCAUCUCUCCAGCUCCUGGUUCAGCCCAUGAGAGAUGGCGACGGCGGCCUGGGACUCAACAGGCUGACGUGGGAAAGUCUCUGGUCUCGAUGUCAUCGUGCGUUUCCUUCAUAAUCACCUUUGCACUUGUGGGUUAGGUGUCCGGCGUUGUCACUGCAGUGGCCCGGGUCGCUGCUGUGGUGUGGGGGUUUGAUCUCUAGCCCUGGAAUUUCCACAUGCCGCAGGCACAGCACCGGCCCCCUCAAAAAGAAGAAUCACUUUUGCAAAGAUAAAACAAAGUGAAACGUUACUCCCAAAUUUGCACAGCCUCUGUUAGAAUUCAAAUUACGGUGCUAAAGUGGUUUUAUUUAGUGAUGCUCUGUGUGCUUUUUUACUUGGUAUAACUCUGCUGACUGCCUUCAAACCUGCCUGCCAGGCCAGUUGGCUCACCUGCCAGGUUUGCCCAUUUUGCACCAACGUGAUGGCAGAUGGAGUUACUUUUGGUGCCUGUGUGUCUCUAUUUAGUGCAUUUUGAGACUUGUUGGCUGUUGCUGUUGCGGUGACCCAUCCUUCCAAGGUCCUGGCGUGAGUUGGAUCUGCUCAGGCCGGCUGGAUGCCCAGCUGGGGGCUCACCUGUGGGUGGAGUUACCUGGGAAACAAGUGGGAAAAAAUGGCAGGAGGAGAGACCAAGCUGGGGGCUCUCGCGGCCAAACGGGAGGUACGUGCCGUGCGCUCCAGGGCACCGAGGUCCGCGGGCAUCUGUGAAGCUCCGCCAGGAGACUCAGCGCACAUGGGAUUCCUGGCGGUUGAGAAGAGGUUGUCCUCUGAUUUACCUCUGCUCUGAGCCCACGGUGACAUGCAGGGUGCCAGUGACGCAUGCGCGCUUUUGGGGAUGCUGGUGGGAAGAUGUCAAGCUUUGUCCAAGGUAAAAUUUAAUAAGAACCAUUGACAACAAAGCCGAAUGCCUUGUUUCCUGGCACUGAUGAGAAGGAAGACAAACCUCUCUAAGGCACGUGUCAAUCUGACCUUUAGUCUCCCUCUAGCAUUGACCUCCAGAAUCAGCCCAGGUGCCCGUCACUCCUCCUGGAGAAAGGGCCUCUCAGAGCCGGAGUCAGCCCUGGGGGACCUCAGCCCUGGGGGACCACAGCCCUGGUUCCCCCUGGGAAGUGAAGUGCAGGGCUGGGUGUGUGUGCAUGUGUGUGCACAUGCGCUCGUGCAAGCGCUUCAAACACAUGCUGUGUGUGCACAUGUGCUCGUGCAAGUGCUUCAAACACAUGCCUGGAGUUCUCUGGCGGCCUAGCAGCUAAGAGGAUCUGGUAUUGUCACUGCUGUGGCAUGGGUUCCAUCCCUGGCCCAGGCAUAUCUGCAUGAUGUGGGCACAACCAAAAAAAAAAGCAAACAACCCCCCUGCCUUGCACACUUAGAUGCAUGCACACAGACACACUGACACACUUAAUCUCAUGCCGUCACUCACCCCCAUACACUCAUUCACACACUCUUCCAUACUCACACUCUCUCACACCUUCCUUCACUCCCCAUGCUCACCUUCACCCUCAUACACCCUCACACCCUCCCUCACACACUCACACUCGCCCGCACUCCCACCCGCCAGGGUCACAGUCACUGUGCAGGGCCUCCCUUCUCCACCCCCACCCCGUCUCCCUCACCUGCUCACCUGCCGGCUUCGGGACAGGUUGCUGAUACCAGCAGGCAGCAGGCGCCACUAGCCAGGUGUGGCGGGCCAGCCCUGUUUGUUUGUGGUCGUCCUUGGUAACGGUGGCUCAGCCCCACACGGAGCCGCCACCUGGCCAUUCACUGCAGGCCUCUGGGGCCUCGCCGGGGCUUCCUUAGUCAAGGAGUGCUGGCCCUGCCUCCUGCCUUGUCCCUCCCACACCCUCUGUCACCCUCUGUCCCCCUGACUCCCAGGCUUCUUCUGGCGAGAAAGGGGAGCCAUUCGUAUCACAAGAGGAAUGUGGACCCAGGAGUUUGGACCCAGGGACCGCGUCCCCACCCUGUAAGGAUCCGCCCACGUGGCCCAGCCUCCUUGGGACUCAGCGCCCUGACCGGAUGCUCAGCAGCUUCCUGGGCUCUGCAGCCGGUGAGAAGGACCUGCAGGUGCCCUGGCCUUGUUGUGACUGUUAUCUUCCUGCUGCCACUUGAUCGGGCCACCUCCAAAAGAGGAAGGGGGCUUGGCGAGGAAGGCACUGCUCUGACCCCCCGCCCCCACCCCGCGCGCGCACUGGCCAUGCCCUCGGGGGUCAGUGGGAGGCACACAGGCAGGACAGUGUUGGGGAGCACAGCAGCGUCGGGACCCUCCUGCAGUCCCAGGGUGCGUCCUGGCUGCCCGCUCUGCUUUCAGCUCCAUCAGUGACAUGAGACGGGCCCCGCAGAGGCCGACCGCUCAAGAAGCCUCCGCUCCUUCCAUGCUGAGCAUGGCUGAGGCUCCCCAGAAAUGACCCAGUGUCACGGUAUCUCCUUUUGUCAAAUGACAGCAGCAGAGACCCAGCCAGCCCCGAGAGGCGUGUGAUCAGAGGUUGCCCUGGAGACGGGGACCGAAAGCAGGUCGUGAGUCCCCGCUGUGCGAAAGCCCACCUGGAGCAGGCUCCGGAGGUGUCCUCACCACCCGCUUCUCCGUGCCGUGACAGACCGUCCAGGUG